GAUGAACGCUGGCGGCGUGCCUAAUACAUGCAAGUCGAGCGAACAGACGAGGAGCUUGCUCCUCUGACGUUAGCGGCGGACGGGUGAGUAACACGUGGAUAACCUACCUAUAAGACUGGGAUAACUUCGGGAAACCGGAGCUAAUACCGGAUACUAUAUUGAACCGCAUGGUUCCAUAGUGAAAGACGGUUUUGCUGUCACUUAUAGAUGGAUCCGCGCCGCAUUAGCUAGUUGGUAAGGUAACGGCUUACCAAGGCAACGAUGCGUAGCCGACCUGAGAGGGUGAGCGGCCCCGAUGGAGCUGAGGCACGGUCCAGACGACUAGUGUGGGCAGCGGUAGUGAAUCGUCCGCGAUGGGCGAAAGCUUGCCGGAAUAGUGCCGGCCGAGGGAUUAAUGUCUCAGUAUCGUAAAACGCUGUGAUUAGUGAAGACCAAAUGUGUACGUAACUAUGCUCGUCUUGACGGUACCUAAUCAGAUGGCCAGCCCUAAGUACUUG
rnacentral:rRNA from 1 species